rnacentral:misc_RNA from 1 species
AAAUUGUGGCCUGAAAAAACUCGACGGCUUUCAAUGCAUGGCAUGUUGGGGAACCUACAAGUGAAAAGGUCAGUCACUAAACUUCGCUCUUUGCUUACAUUUGGUGUAGCAGAUCCACAGUCCUUGUCUUGCAUAAGUCAAGUGCUUGGUAGCUCCCGGAUGCUAAGGGUUUUAGAUUUGAGAGGAGCUCCUCUAAAAAUGAUUCCAGAGACAGUCUUCCAAUUGUUUCACUUAAGGUA